rnacentral:rRNA from 1 species
CAUUGGUACUGAGACACGGACCAAACUCCUACGGGAGGCAGCAGUGAGGAAUAUUGGUCAAUGGGCGUAAGCCUGAACCAGCCAAGUCGCGUGAGGGAUGAAGGUUCUAUGGAUCGUAAACCUCUUUUAUAAGGGAAUAAAGUGUGGGACGUGUCCUAUUUUGUAUGUACCUUAUGAAUAAGGAUCGGCUAACUCCGUGCCAGCAGCCGCGGUAAUACGGAGGAUCCGAGCGUUAUCCGGAUUUAUUGGGUUUAAAGGGUGCGUAGGCGGCCUUUUAAGUCAGCGGUGAAAGUCUGUGGCUCAACCAUAGAAUUGCCGUUGAAACUGGGGGGCUUGAAUAUGUUUGAGGCAGGCGGAAUGCGUGGUGUAGCGGUGAAAUGCUUAGAUAUCACGCAGAACCCCGAUUGCGAAGGCAGCCUGCCAAGCCAUGACUGACGCUGAUGCACGAAA